rnacentral:rRNA from 1 species
UACGGAGGGUGCAAGCGUUAUCCGGAUUCACUGGGUUUAAAGGGUGCGUAGGUGGGCAAGUAAGUCAGUGGUGAAAUCUCCGGGCUUAACCCGGAAACUGCCAUUGAUACUAUUUGUCUUGAAUACUGUGGAGGUCAGCGGAAUAUGUCAUGUAGCGGUGAAAUGCUUAGAUAUGACAUAGAACACCAAUUGCGAAGGCAGCUCACUACGGGAUCAUUGACACUGAGGCACGAAAGCGUGGGGAUCAAACAGG